rnacentral:rRNA from 1 species
AUUGAACGCUGGCGGAAUGCUUUACACAUGCAAGUCGAACGGCAGCACGGGGGCAACCCUGGUGGCGAGUGGCGAACGGGUGAGUAAUACAUCGGAACGUGCCCAGUCGUGGGGGAUAACGUAGCGAAAGCUACGCUAAUACCGCAUACGAACUCUGGUUGAAAGCGGGGGAUCGCAAGACCUCGCGCGAUUGGAGCGGCCGAUGGCAGAUUAGGUAGUUGGUGGGGUAAAGGCCUACCAAGCCGACGAUCUGUAGCUGGUCUGAGAGGACGACCAGCCACACUGGGACUGAGACACGGCCCAGACUCCUACGGGAGGCAGCAGUGGGGAAUUUUGGACAAUGGGCGCAAGCCUGAUCCAGCCAUUCCGCGUGCAGGAUGAAGGCCCUCGGGUUGUAAACUGCUUUUGUACGGAACGAAAAGGCUUCCUCUAAUACAGGAGGCCGAUGACGGUACCGUAAGAAUAAGCACCGGCUAACUACGUGCCAGCCGCCGCCGUAA